UACGGGGGGGGUAAGCGUUGUUCGGAAUUACUGGGCGUAAAGGGCUCGUAGGCGGCCAACUAAGUCAUACGUGAAAUCCCUCAGCUUAACUGGGGAACUGCGUGUGAUACUGGAUGGCUUGGAUUUGGGAGAGGGAUGCGGAAUUCCAGGUGUAGCGGUGAAAUGCGCAGAUAUCAGGAGGAACACCCGUAGCGAAGGCGGCACUCUGGGCCGAUACUGACACUGAGGAGCGAAAGCGUGGGGAGCGAACAGG
rnacentral:rRNA from 1 species